rnacentral:lncRNA from 1 species
GGCCAACUAAAAUUAAUUAGUAGAUUUUCAUCCAAAUUUUUGAAAAAAAUGGGGCGGGUGGGAGGAUUUUAUUUUUUAAAUUUUAUUUCAUAAGAAACCCUCUAGUGACGAGUUUUUUAUACCGCAGGGGUAUAAACAAGUGUAACAUAAGCUAAUAUAUCAUGUAUAUUGUAUAUACAUGUAUAUAUAUAUAUAAGGAAUCGUUCAUAAAUUUUCAAACUCUUUAAAAAUAAAUAUCUCUGAUACUGGCAACCCCAAUUGACUGUUUUACAUGUAAUUGCUACUUUAAAAACC